GUUUACCUCCACUUAUACUAAAUAAUAUCAUUAGCAUUGCAAUAUUCUAUUAUCCUGUUCAUGACAGAUCAAAAGUGAUUCGGUAUCGAUUGGUUGAAACGAAUGGUACGAUUACAUCAUCGUUACAUCAAUAUACAUGACUAAUUAGUUAAUCAAGUAUGUACCAUUCGUUGCCCCAUCGUAUUAAUCACAAUGUCUACUUUUCUAUCUAAAUUGAUAAACGGAAGUGUGCCAUAUCUAAAUGAUAUAGCAAUCAAUAUCUGAUGAACUAACAGCAGGAAUUCAU